CAAGGAGCAGGAGAUUUGUUCCUGGGACGUGCUCUCCCGGAGGGCCUACUAGCACGUCCAGGUGCUGGGCAGGAUUCAGAGGAUCAACGAACAACGCCGUCACUCAAUUGUGAUUCUGAAAAGAAAAUUUCCUGACCACCAUCCCCAGAUUUUGCCUGAUGUCCCUGGUCUGGUGCAUUUAAAAAAUGUUAACCAGUAGGAGAGGAAUCAAUCAAGUGCAGAAUCAUCACUACACAGGUCUGUCCCUUGCAGUCCCUUGAGCACUAAGUGGAGAAGCUCCUCGCUGCUUGAAACUGCCCUGCCCACGGGCAUCCCUGGAGUGCGAAGCACGCGCUGUUAUCA